CCUCUUUAGAGAUCCUAUCUCCAACAUAGCACAGAGCGUCUAAGGGUGCCACCCUCUCCCAUAACUAGAGACACAUGAGUGACAGCAGCAAUGAGCUGUCCCAUCUGCUAGUCGUCGACACAGAAGAGCCAGACUGAGAGAGCUGGGUGCCAAUCACACCACGCAGGGACAGGCUGUCUGCCCAGAGGAGGCCGGUGGUGUCCACACCUGCCUCGCUGGGGCCGUUUCAACACAAAUCUUCCAGCAGUUCUUAACUGAACGUCUGACCUACCGACUCCACUUUCGGGAGUUUAUCCUUUGGUGAUAUUUUCUCAAAGGGCCAAUAAUCACAGUGGCUCACAGAAAAGAGUUCUCCGUGUUUGCCGGAUAUCCUGCUGAGAAUUUGACACUUUGAUCUCAUUUAAACCCUGCAACAACCUUGAGGUGGGUGCUGUUGUUACUUCCAUAUUAGAGCGGAAGAAAAGGAACUCAGAGAGAUGACUUUACUUAUCCAAGACCACCCAGCCAGGCGGCAGGGCUGGGAACCCAAGCAUGAAGUGAAAUAGCCCCGCCCUGGACUGGCUGGAUGGUAGCCACAGUCUACAUGUGAGUAAGACACUGAAUUUAAGAAAAGAAAUCACUUUAUUAAGAUAUAAUUUACAUACCAUGCAAUUCACCCACGUAAAGAGUAAAAUUCAACGGUUGUUGGUAUAUUGCGUUAUUCAUUUUUAACAUUAUGUUAAUGUGUGGCAUAAAAUUUCCAUUGAACCGUUUUUAAAUGUAUAAUUCAGCGGCAUUAAUUACAUUCAUAACGUUGUGUAACCAUCACCACAAUCUAUUUAAAAACUUUUUCAUCCCCCCCAAACGGUAACUCUGUAACCGUUAAGCAGUAAAUCCCCUUUCUCUCUCCCCCAUUGCCUGAUGAAGUAGGAGGUGGGACUAGACUCUGGAGGUGGGACUUGCACUCAGGAUCAAAUUGAAGACCAGCUGAAACAGGGAAGAGGGGAAAGCGCUUCUCCAUAAGACACGCCCACCAGUGCCAUGUCAGUUUCCCGUUGCCAUGACAACACCCCGACGUUAACACCCCUCUCCAUGGCAGUGACUUGAUGACCUGGAGGUUACCACCCUUUUUCUAGUCACUAGUGGAUAAUCUGUACCUUAAUUUGCAUAUAAUUAAAAGUGGGUAUAAGUAUGGCUGCUGGGCACACUGCCUAUGGGGUAGCCUUUCAGGCAAGGAGCAGUACCCGUGUCGCUGCUGUACACUGCGGCUUCGAUAAAAGUUGCUGUUGGUUAGGCAUGGUGGCUCACGCCUAUAAUCCCAACUAGGAGGCUGAGGCAGGAGGAUCACUUGACAUCAGGAGUUCGAGACCAGCCUGGCCAACAUGGUGAAACUCUGUCUCUACUAAAAAUACAA
rnacentral:lncRNA from 10 species